UACGUAGGGUGCAAGCGUUGUCCGGAAUUAUUGGGCGUAAAGAGCUCGUAGGCGGUCUGUCGCGUCGGCUGUGAAAACCCGGGGCUCAACCCCGGGCCUGCAGUCGAUACGGGCAGACUAGAGUGCGGUAGGGGAGACUGGAAUUCCUGGUGUAGCGGUGAAAUGCGCAGAUAUCAGGAGGAACACCGGUGGCGAAGGCGGGUCUCUGGGCCGUAACUGACGCUGAGGAGCGAAAGCGUGGGGAGCGAAUGGG
rnacentral:rRNA from 1 species